UUAAAAAGUAAACCACAUCGAGAUGUCCUC
rnacentral:piRNA from 1 species